AGGAUGAACGCUGGCGGCGUGCUUAACACAUGCAAGUCGAACGAUGAAGGCUGGAGCUUGCUCUGGCUGGAUUAGUGGCGAACGGGUGAGUAACACGUGAGUAACCUGCCCCAGACUCUGGGAUAAGCGCUGGAAACGGCGUCUAAUACCGGAUACGAGCUUCCACCGCAUGGUGAGGAGCUGGAAAGAAUUUCGGUCUGGGAUGGACUCGCGGCCUAUCAGCUUGUUGGUGAGGUAAUGGCUCACCAAGGCGACGACGGGUAGCCGGCCUGAGAGGGUGACCGGCCACGACUGGGACUGAGACACGGCCCAGACUCCGUAGGGAGCAGCGAGUGGGAAUAGUUGCACGAAGUGGGACGAAAGCCUAGAUGCAGCGACGCCGCGUGGAGGAUGGACCGGUCCGUUACGGUACGUUAACCGUUCUUACGA
rnacentral:rRNA from 1 species